rnacentral:lncRNA from 1 species
UCUAAUGUAAAAGAAUAGAUUUAAAUUAAAUUUAUCAUGUUAAAUUUUAUUAUGCGAUUUAUUAUGCGUAUUAUUAAUAAAUUAAUUAAUUAAUUUCAUGAAAUUUAAAUUAUGUAUUUAUUUAUACAACGAUAUUUUACGUGAUUUAAAUUAAAUCUAUCAUGUUAAAUUUUAUUCUGUGAUUUAUUACGCGUAUUAUUAAUAAAAUUAAUUAAUUAAUUUCAUAGAGUUUAGAGAUUUAAAAUUUUAAAUUUUGAAGAAAUUUAAAUUAUGUAUUUUUUUAUACAGCAAUAUUUUACGUGAUUUAAAUUAAAUCUAUCAUGUUAAAUUUUAUUAUGUGAUUUAUUACGUGUAUUAUUAAUAAAAUUAAUUAAUUAAUUUUAUAGAGUUUAGAGAUUUAAAAUUUUAAAUUUUGAAGUUACAAAAUUGGAAAUAAAUAUUAUAAGUUAAAAUUGAAAUUUAGAAUUUAAAAUUUGAAAGUAUCAAAAUUGUAAAUUUUGAUAUCAAAAUUUAAAAUUAUAUAAAUAUAUAUAUAGAGAGAGAGAGAGAGAGAGAGUAAAGGAGGGUUUGGAGGGGAGGGGGUGACACGUGUCACCCUAUGGCCCCCCAAACCCUCCUUUAAUAUAAAACUAAUACCUGCGCGAUGCUGCGGAUAUAAAAUUUUUUUUAAUAAAUUUUAAUUUUUUAUAAUUUAAAAUAAUUUUAUAAGUCUAACUAUUAAUUAAAUAAAAGUUAUAUAAAAAUAAUUUAAUAAUUAAUUUUAUUUAAAUAAAAUUUAUUGAAACGGCAACUUAUUUUAUAAAGAUUUAUGUGAAAAAAGAUUUGAGAUAAAUAUAUCAAAAGAAUUUUAAAAAUUAAUAAAUAGAAGGGAAAUAAAAUAAUAGAAGAAUUUGUUUAAUAAAAUUAAUUUUAUAUAUAUACACACGCGCACUAUAUUUAUAAAAUCUUACUCCUCAAAUUUAAAUUAUGUAUUUUUUUAUACAUCGAUCAAAUUAGAUUUUAUUAUGCGAUUUAUUACGUGUAUUAUUAAUAAUAUUAAUUAAUUAUAUUAUAUACAAUGAAUUUAUUAAUAAAAUUAAUUAAUUAAUUAAUUUCAUAGAGUUUAGAGAUUUAAAAUUUUA